rnacentral:rRNA from 1 species
AUGAACGCUAGCGGGAGGCUUAAUACAUGCAAGUCGAGCGGUAGGUGGCUUCGGCCAUUGAGAGCGGCGCACGGGUGAGUAACACGUACAUGACCUACCUGUCAGAAGGGGAUAGCCCUGGGAAACUGGGAUUAAUACCCUAUGGUAUUACGAAUGUAAAGGUUUGUAAUUAAAGCUGAGGUGCUGACAGAUGGAUGUGCGUCUGAUUAGCUAGUUGGUGGGGUAAAGGCCUACCAAGGCGACGAUCAGUAGGGGGCGUGAGAGCGUGAACCCCCACACGGGUACUGAGACACGGACCCGACUCCUACGGGAUGCAGCAGUAAGGAAUAUUGGUCAAUGCCCGACAGGGUGAACCAGCCAUUCCGCGUGGAGGAUGAAGGCCCUCUGGGUUGUAAACUUCUUUUAGAUGGGAAUAAAAUGCCCCGUGCGCGGGGUACUGACGGUACCAUCAGAAUAAGCACCGGCUAACUCCGU